AUUGAACGCUGGCGGCAUGCCUUACACAUGCAAGUCGAGCGGCAGCGCGGGGGCAACCCUGCGGCGAGCGGCGAACGGGUGAGUAAUACAUCGGAACGUGUCCAGUAGUGGGGGAGUAACCAGUCGAAAGAUUGGCUAAUACCGCAUACGAUCUACGGAUGAAAGCGGGGGACCGGUAAGGCCUCGCGCUGUUGGAGCGGCCGAUGUCCGAUUAGCUAGUUGGCGGGGUAACGGCCCACCAAGGCGACGAUCGGUAGCUGGUCUGAGAGGAUGAUCAGCCACACUGGAACUGAGACACGGUCCAGACUCCUACGGGAGGCAGCAGUGGGGAAGUUUUGGUACAAUGGGCGCGAAGCCUGAUCCAGCCAUGCCGCGUGAGUGAAGAAGGCCU
rnacentral:rRNA from 1 species